UUUGGUUGCUUGCUUGGCCUUUGUGCAGAGUGGGUGGCUACUAGUUGGGGUGGCUUCGGGGAUGUUUACCGUAAAGGUGCAUGAGUGGUGUUUGGUUUGUUACGUGUGGUUGGCUGCGGCGCUUGCAACAACUUCCAUGCUCUCAUACCUCUUCAGUAGUGCGACAAGGCUUGUAUCGCCUUGAGCGUCUAGUGGGUUUCCUGUGUUGCAUACCUAAUCAAUGGUAUCGGUUGGAUAGAUCAAAAUUUACAUUUCGCCUUGCGUUGCAUUUGCGGCGUGAGGUGAACCUUAAUGCGUUCUCUUUGAUCCGCCUUGUUAAAGCGCAAGCUUCGAUAUUGUGGCACAUUGAGCAUCGCUUGGUUUCUUGUAUACGGAACAUAAAGUGGGCAUGGGAUCUAAACGAUUCUUGUUUGCCCUUUGUUUUAGCGUUUCGCUUCUAUAAAACGACUAGCGAUGCGUGUUGGCUUGUCCAGCCGUGGAGCGAUGUCGAAGAGGAA
rnacentral:misc_RNA from 1 species